rnacentral:rRNA from 1 species
AUUGAACGCUGGCGGCAUGCCUUACACAUGCAAGUCGAACGGCAGCACGGGAGCAAUCCUGGUGGCGAGUGGCGAACGGGUGAGUAAAGUAUCGGAACGUGCCCAGUCGUGGGGGAUAACGUAGCGAAAGUUACGCUAAUACCGCAUACGAUCUAUGGAUGAACGCGGGGGAUCGCAAGACCUCGCGCGAUUGGAGCGGCCGAUAUCAGAUUAGGUAGUUGGUGGGGUAAAGGCUCACCAAGCCGACGAUCUGUAGCUGGUCUGAGAGGACGACCAGCCACACUGGGACUGAGACACGGCCCAGACUCCUACGGGAGGCAGCAGUGGGGAAUUUUGGACAAUGGGCGCAAGCCUGAUCCAGCCAUGCCGCGUGCAGGAUGAAGGCCUUCGGGUUGUAAACUGCCUUUGUACGGAACGAAAAGGUUUGGCUUAAUACGUUGAACUCAUGACGGUACCGUAAGAAUAAGCACCGGCUAACUACGUGCCAGCCGCCGCCGUAA